UUAGUACAAGCCUUAAACUACAAUGAAAACAUACAUUUUAGAGUCAAGAAACAAACACCUAAUGAUAUCCCACGUUACAUACAUGCAAUUUCUUUGGAGGGAAUUCCAAAUACUUAAGAUACAAAUCCCAUGUAUGGACCAACAUGUAUAUUUAAAGCUCUUUUGGGGGCUAUUUGUCCUUUAGUAACAUUAAUAAAUUUCUAGGUUAUUUCCUAACCAGUUGUGAUGGUUGGAGAGCUUCCUUUGCAUCUCAAGCUGAUACCCUUUUAUCUCUGAUAAUUAAAGAUUCAAUUAUUUAGUUCUUAUUACAGUCUUACUACUGCAUUACAUUAUUUUCUGACAUUAUCUCUUUUACUCCCUGUAACUAACUGCUCUUUGAGGAUUUGUUAUCCCCAUCUAUGGAUGAGAAACCAUGGCAGAAGAAGGUAAAUAAUUUGUGUAAGAUCACACAGCUAUUAAGUUGAGGACCCUGGAUUCAAAGUCAGAGUGUGGCUCCCCAAACCACUAGAUAGACUGUCCCUGGCCACUAUGGGAGGAUCGGUCCUGUCUUCUCCACCCACUGUAUCCAUCUUCUUCCUUUUCUAACCUUUAUUCUAUCCUACGCUUUAUUCUCUAUCCAGGCACUUGUCCCUAAAAACUACCACUCUGAGAGGACAGAAUUUCCAGUGACCAACUGCAGGGGCAGGUGUGCUUUGGUAACCAAUUAAAUCAUGUAUUACGGCAGAAAAGGUGCCUUUGAUUUCUGUGGAUGGAGGAAUUAUUUCCCAUGCUUAAUAUGUGACCUUAAAAGUUUGCUUUUCAAAUAACCACCGGUGUUCAGUCUAGAACUUUGCUACUGAAAGUGUGGUCCCUACUUGGGAACAUCUUAGAAAUGAAGAAUCUCAGAUCCCAUCCAGAAUUUUGAACUGGAGUUGGCCUUUUAAGAAGAUAACUGGUUGAUUUCUAUACAUAUCACUGUUCUAUGCAAUAAUUAAAUAUUGUGGAGAUAAUCUGAAACACCCACUAAGCACUUAGAGAUUAGGUUUUUUCCUCUACACUAGACAAGAGCUCCAGAGUUCAUGCUCUCAACACCGUCCUACUCCCUCAAAACUAAACCAAACCCAACCCCAAGAAAUUGCUGAACUGGACACAGUCUAUGAUUUCUCCAGUUGUUGAGAACCUUGCUAUGGCAUAGCACUUGGGUCAACUGAAAGUUAAGUUAUAUUGUUUCUAUAAGUAUUAAAGACCCAUUUCCUUUUUUCUGCUCAAACAGCAUUGCAUGGUUUAGAUCUUUACGAUCUCACUUGUGUUCCACAUUUGGCUUCUCUGCUUCUAGCUCUUUUCAAUUUUUCUUUUCUGCAUACUGUUAUUAUAUUAAAUAUCCUUAAUUCAUUCUUUGGACCUAUCACUUUUCUUCUCAAAAACAGUUUCUCCCUGUCUACACCAGGGGUCAGUAAACCUUUUCUAUAAAGAAUCAGGAAGUAGAUACUUUAGGUUUUGCAGGCCACAUUCCAUCACACUGUCUCCUCUCCUUUUCGUCCACCUCCUUCUUCCUCUUCAUUUUCUUCUUCUUUCUUCUCUUCCUUUUCUUUUUUUUUUACAACUCUUUAAAAAUGUAAAAGCCAAACAUAAAAACAAUGUAAAAGCCAUUCUUAACUUGGGGGACGGGAGUGGCACACAAAAACAGGCCAUCUGGCAGAUUUGGCCCCUGGGCCGACACCUGCUUCCUUUUCAGAUCAAGGAGUUUGUACCCUAGCGUGAAAGAGAGAGGUUGCUAGUGUAAGUGGCUGUCAUCGCUAGGAGCUCUAGCUUCUCCAGGGCCUGUGUAGCUACCCUGAGGAUAAGGGAGAUGAUGACUUCCAGUACCCCUGUCCCCCAUUCACGGCCCACAGAGCAGUUUAGCAAGGCUGACUACAGCACUGGUUCUCAACCUGUAGCAGGCAUCAACAUCACUUGGAGGGUCUGUUAAACUGCAGAUGCUAAGCCCCACCUCUCAGAGAUUCUGAUGCGAUAAGUCCAGGGUAGAGCCUGAAGCGAUGCUGAUGCUAUUGGACUGGAGAUCUCACUUUGAGAACCACAGGCCUACAUGACCUGAGCACAUGCCAGCUCUCCCAGAAAGCCUCUUCACAUCAUUCUGGUCAGAACUCUCAGAUCCUCUUUUCUGGACGAACGCAUCUCAUACCCCUCCAUGCUGGAAACUUGCAGCUCCCCGUGUCAUAUGUUUGCUGCCAGAUUUUAAGAUGCUGUUAUUUCUCGUUGAGUUCUUCUGUGGAAGACCUGAGGCAAGAAAUAUCUCACCCAAGGACUGAAUUUGGCCCUUAGUUCAGUUUCAGACUUUGUCGGUAAUGGUUUCUGUGAUCUUGGACAAGCCUCAAUUUUCUCACCUAUGAAAUGGAGAUAGUAAGAGUACCUAUUUUAUAGGAUUAUUAGAACGAUUAAAUGAAAUGGCCCAUGUAAGGUGCUGAGAAUAUUGACUGACACAUUGAAAAAACUGAAACAGUAUGAACUAUAAAAAUAAGAAUCUACCAGGAGCUCCACCUUCUUCCUUUAAAAUUAACUCAUGCUUAUAGUUGCACGGUUUUGACUUCAGUAGCAAUAUCCUAGAAGUCCAUGUAAUGGGGAGGUUGUUCCAUGUAAAGAGUAGUCCAGCUGUUUUAUAACAGAGAUCAUAUCAUUGACUUCAGCAUUUAUGUCCUUGCUUUAGAAAGACAAAACUACAUAUAGAUAUAUUGAAAUACAUGUCAAUAUAUAUGAUAUAUAUAUAGAGAGAGAUAGCUAUAUUGAUAUAUAUCAUAUAGACAUUCGAUUUUAGGGAAAUUUUUUAAAUGCAAAUAUUAAAAAGAAAAAUAUUAGCAUAAAGAUAAAAUAACAAUAACUUCUAGACUUCCUGGAUGACAUGUUAAAACACAUGAUUAGACCAUCCAGGUGCACUUAGAAGCAACAAUAGCAGUUUCUCAAAAAAAUAAAUAAAACAACAACAACAAAAACUGCAGGCACACACCCCAGCAAACCCCAGCAUUUCACAGAGUCCUUAUUAGCAAAAUAAAAAAGCCUUUCUUUGGCAGAAACAAAAACGGAGAGGAACUUUGAUAAUGUGGAAACUGUGUGAGAAGAGCAGAUGCAUCCACUAUAUGUGAUAUCAACCAGUUCCAAUAAACUACUUCCUAUGAAACCUUUAUUUAUACUGACAAUGAAAAUGGAUAGCUCAAGAUUUCACAUUUCAGUAACAUAGACAUUUUUAAUGAUUAAUAUAUCUGCUGGAGCUUUGAAGACUGGUUUUUGGAAUCAAAGACUUGGAAAACUAAGGACAUUUCUUCCCCCAUGCUCCUUCAGAGAAAUCAAAUGCUCAAAAUUACAUAUUCAGCGUACACAAUUGAAGAGAUACAAGAGCGAGCGGCCAGGAUGAUGAGAAAAGAUUGGGAAGAACUGGUGAUAUUUUAUCACAGAGAGGAGACCACUUAGGAGAUGACACCAGAGUGUUCUUCAGUAUCUGAACAGCUGUGCCAUAGGAAAGGAGAAUGGAGAACACGAUGGAAGAAUCCAGAAGCCAUUGUGUUUAUUUCCCCAUGUGUUUUUUGCUGUUACAAAAUUACACAGGAGAAAAAGAGGUCUAAAUGCUAAGAAGGAAAAGGAGUUCAAUGAGCAUCCAAUCAGUCACUCUGCUGGAGUCUUACAUACCUGGGUCACUAAACCUCACAACUCCACGAGAUAAAUACCUGGAUGGUGAAAUCUAGACUUCAAGAAGAUAAAUGAUUUGUUCAACUUUACAAGGAUAGUGUGGUUCUAAAAGAAGUUCUGCCACAUCAUAGUCCCUCAAUAUAGACUGACUGACUCACUGACUCACUGACUGACUGACUGACCGACUGACUGAGUGAAUGAAGCAUAAAGUUCCAUUGUCAGGAGACCCCAACUCAUUUUCACCUUUAGCUUUUUGGAUGCUAACCUAGACUCACCUAUCAAUCUCUAGGAUUUAUUGUAGGUUUACAGUACCUACUAAUCUGGUUCAAACCAUCUUGGCAUUCCCUCUGAAGUAUUAAAGCAUAGUAAUCAUUCAGCUGCCUGCCACUGUUUCCUGAGCUAAAAUUGUCUGCACCACCCAGGAUUUGCAAAGGUUCUACUGCCUCCAGGGCUCAUCCCUUUUAUCCUCAAAGUAACUACAGAGUAAUGCAGUUGUGUUCAGACAAUUUUCCUUAAAUUAGGUUUAACUUAAUGCCAACAUUGAUUUGUCUAUAUGAGGGAGUCAAACAUUAAAAAAAUGGUAACCAAAUGUCCAACUUAUUAAACCAUUAAUCAUCCACUUCCCAUACUUGACUAUAGGUCUACCCACUUAUUUAUUUUAUAAUGAUAACGGCCACAAAGUUAUACGAGAAAGCCUUCUUUAAAGUAAAAUCACUCACUUGAGCAAACCUUGGAACGGGCUUUUCUCGGUCUUAUUUGAGUGUGGCAUUAACUAUCGCCAGGUGAAAGAUUUUGAUGAGGCAGGAGUAGGUGACGUCACAGAGCUGUUCUGCCGAACCUCUCUACAGGACCACAGAUUCCUUGGUUCCCAAAGCAGUUUACACUAACGUCAUCUUUCCAUUGGAUAACGGAUGGUUGAUUAAUUUGUGUUUUGAAUUUUUCCUUUUUCCUUUCAGCAAUGUUUGUUUGGUUAUAGA